UGGGGAAUUUUGGACAAUGGGCGCAAGCCUGAUCCAGCCAUUCCGCGUGCAGGAUGAAGGCCCUCGGGUUGUAAACUGCUUUUGGACGGAACGAAAAGGCUUUCCCUAAUACGGGGAGCUCAUGACGGUACCGUCAGAAUAAGCACCGGCUAACUACGUGCCAGCAGCCGCGGUAAUACGUAGGGUGCGAGCGUUAAUCGGAAUUACUGGGCGUAAAGCGUGCGCAGGCGGUGAUGUAAGACAGGUGUGAAAUCCCCGGGCUUAACCUGGGAACUGCAUUUGUGACUGCAUCGCUGGAGUGCGGCAGAGGGGGAUGGAAUUCCGCGUGUAGCAGUGAAAUGCGUAGAUAUGCGGAGGAACACCGAUGGCGAAGGCAAUCCCCUGGGCCUGCACUGACGCUCAUGCACGAAAGCGUGGGGAGCAAACAGG
rnacentral:rRNA from 1 species